rnacentral:rRNA from 1 species
ACUAAGUUUCAACAACGGAUCUCUUGGCUCUCGCAUCGAUGAAGAACGCAGCGAAAUGCGAUAAGUAAUGUGAAUUGCAGAAUUCAGUGAAUCAUCGAAUCUUUGGACGCACCUUGCGCUCCUUGGUAUUCCUUGGAGCAUGCCUGUUUGAGUAUCAUGAAAU